rnacentral:rRNA from 1 species
UGGGGAAUAUUGGGCAAUGGGGCGCAGGCCUGACCCAGCAACGCCGCGUGAAGGAAGAAGGCUUUCGGGUUGUAAACUUCUUUUGUCAGGGACGAGCAGAAGACGGUACCUGACGAAUAAGCCGCGGCUAACUACGUGCCAGCAGCCGCGGUAAUACGUAGGUGGCAAGCGUUGUCCGGAUUUACUGGGUGUAAGGGGCGUGUAGCCGGGAGGGCAAGUCAGAUGUGAAAUCCACGGGCUUAACUCGUGAACUGCAUUUGAAACUGUUCUUCUUGAGUAUCGGAGAGGCAAUCGGAAUUCCUAGUGUAGCGGUGAAAUGCGUAGAUAUAUGGAGG